UAUAUAUAUUUUACCUAACACUUAACUUUUAAUCCUUGUAACUCUUUAAUUCUUCCUUGUAGGACUCACAGUGAACUUGUUGACAACAUUGUGGAAUCUCUCCGCAGUAAAGUACCACCUGAUGCAAUUGAAUUCACAGAUGAUUUCCGAGCAUUUGGAGCAACAAAAGAAGCCAUGCGCAAGGUUAUGGAGGGGCUAAGAGAUGACAAGAUCACUGCCGUUGGUGUCUACGGCAUGGGCGGCGUUGGAAAGACAAGCAUGGUGAAAUAUGUAGCUGAACAAGCCUGCAAAAACGGUACUUUUAACCAUUGGAUUAUGGCUGUCGUAUCCCAAAACCCUGAGUUGAUAAAAAUUCAAGACACAUUGGCAGAUCUGCUGGGCUUCGAAUUAAAAGAGAAGACAGAAGCUGGAAGAGCAGCUAAGUUGCAUAAGGAGAUCAUGAGAAAAGAAAAACUCCUGAUAAUUGUGGACGAUGUCUGGGAGAGAACAGAGUUGUCAAAGAUAGGGAUUCCCCCCUACAAUGAGCUUCAAAAGUGUAAGUCCAAAGUGCUGCUCACCACGAGGAGAUUGAAUGUCUGUAAUGACAUGAAGUGCCAUGAAAAGAUCGCCCUCAAGCUUCUCUCGAAAAAAGAUUCAUGGAACUUGUUUCAGAGAAAUGCAGGAACAAUUUCUUUUGAGUCCACCUCGUUUGAGGAAGUGGCAAGGAAGGUAGCUGGAGAGUGUAAGGGUCUACCGAUUGCAUUGAUAGCUGUUGCAAGGGCACUCAGAGAUGAGGACCAGGAGGAAUGGGAGAAGGCAGCUGAACGACUAAAGCAGUCGCAAUAUGUCAAUCCCAAUUACCAGGAAGAUGAGGAAAAUGCAUUCAGAUGUAUACGAUUAAGCUAUGAUUACUUGAAAAAUGAAGACCACAAGUCAUGCUUCUUGCUCUGUUGCCUGUUCCCAGAAGACCGUAACAUCGAAAUAGAAGACUUGUUCCGGUACGCGAUCGGAAAAAGAUUAUUUCGAGAUGCCCAAACAAUGGAAGAAGCCAGAGGAAAAUUAGUUACAGUGGUCAAGUACCUGAAAGGUUCUAGCUUGCUUUUGGAUAGUGAGGAAGAAGGAUGUGUUAAGAUGCAUGAUGUCAUCCGGGAUACAGCCCUGAAUAUUGCACAAUCUGAAGAUGGGCAUCGGUUUUUUGUGAAAGCUGGCUGUGGUUUAAAGGGUUGGCGGCCACGCGGAUUACAUGAAGGCUGCACUGCUAUUUCACUAAUGAGGAACAAAAUUCGCAAGCUACCCGAAGAAGAGUUGGUAUGUCCAAAUCUCCAGAUUUUAUUACUAAACAGGAAUUUUGGACUAAGUGAGAUCCCCGAAAAGUUGAUCCAGAAUCUGAAAGAGUUAAGGGUCUUGGAUCUUAGCAACACUAGUAUUUCCGUAUUACCCCAAUCAUUUAGUCUCCUCACCAACCUCCAAGCUUUGUAUUUAGAUGAUUGCAGCAAAUUAAUUGACAUUUCCGUUGUGGGGAAACUUAACAAGCUUGAAAUUCUUAGUAUGAGAGGUUGUCCCAGGGGGCAAUUGUUCAGAGAAAUAGAACAUUUGACCAAUCUACGGAUUUUGGACGUCAAUCGCUCUUGGGGACAAUUCAUAUUGAGAGGAAGAAUGGUUACAAUUCCAUCUAAAGUGAUAUCAAAGUUGCAAGAAUUAGAAGAAUUGUACAUGGUGUACUAUGUAUUUGAGGAGGAUGGGUCGUGUGUAGCUGAGGGACCAAGAGAAAGAACCAAUAUUAUUAGGUUUGAUGAGAUAGCUGGUUUAUCAAAUUUGAAAAUAUUGCAGGUUGGCUUAUCCGAUGAAGGUUUUAUCCCUAAAAAUGUUGAGGCCGCACCAGAUUGGGAUUACUUUUGUAUAAGUGUCUUCGGCAGAUGCAGCGACACUACAUUCUGGCCCGUUGCAUACAAACAAGGAGAUCGUAAUUCAAGAUCCUUGCUUCUUAAUGGAGCAACCAUCAAUACCUUGGCUGAUUGGUUUAUCAAAGCGGUGACAGAGAAAACAGAAAAGCUAGAGUACAACCGCUGCAAAGGGAUGAGUGACAUUGUUAUGGAAUAUGACCGUGGGAGGUUACAUAAACUCAAGCAUCUCACAGUUGCUGGGCCACAAGACGAGUUGAAAGAGUUGAUGAACACAACAAGACGAGUUGAAAUAGGACCAGUGUUUGAGAAUUUGGAAGAGUUGCAUCUGAAAUUAGUGUUCGACCUGGAGGAGUUGUGUGUUGGUGAGUUACCACCUGGGUCUCUCUCAAAUCUCAAGGUGUUUCAUGUGUAUUGUGGUUGGAUUUUGAGGAGUGUAUCAGAAUUUGUACAGAGACUACCAAAUCUGAAGAAACUAGAUUUAAACUCUAUGCUCAAAUUGGAAUAUGUGUUCAGAUGCGAAGGGUUCGAGCCAGAACAAUCAAAACUGAGAGAGAUGCAUUUGUUGUGGCUAGAAGAACUAAGAAACAUAUGUAAUGGUCCCGCUCCACGUGCAAUGUUCCAGAGUCUUAAGAUUUUGACGAUUUACCGUUGCGAGCUGCUGCAAAGUCUGUUCGCAUCUGAUGUAGCUGAGUGUCUUGUUCAAUUGGAAGACCUUCUUGUAGAGGAUUGCCCUUUGUUGGAAAGAGUAAUGGAAGCAGUGAACAAGGAGAAGACGGUUCUACCAAAACUGAAGAACUUGGUUUUGAAGAAUCUUCCUAAUUUGUAUGGUGCAAUUGCUGUCGUUGAUAUUGAGUGUCCUUCAUUGGUACGCUUGAUGGUGGUGGAUUGCCCCAAGCUUUUGUUUUCAACCUCUUCCGAUCUCUUCGAAGCCUUCAAAUGCAGGAACCAAUUUUCAUUUUCAGCCUCCACUUCUGACCCAGUCCAACUCGAUGAUCCACAACUAUACAAAACUCUACGUGACAGGUAUUGACGUAUUUACUUAGUUUGUUCUUUUCUUCUGUAUUUUGUAGGGCAGCAAUUGGGCAAAAACUGAUUUGAUCAAUUAAAAUCUGUGCUCCCACAACAGGACAGAAUACGAAGCAUAAUUAAAAUAGUAUUUUUAUUUUCAUUCUUAUUUUUCUUUGUUCAACAACAAAAAAGUUAAAAUUAUGCAGAAUACUUAAAGUUGAUGAUUGUUUCGUUUUCUUUACGAUAGUAAUGCAAGUUACAAACAACAUUAUUGACACUCCUAGAAUGUUACUUUUCUGUUUAAAUCUAUAAUUUUAAUAGUAAUUCUUCUUUUCUUUUGUUUUUUUCCUUAUUUUGAUGCAACAGAACAUCUGGUUUCAUAUUGCGAAGAGUCUUAGCUUCUGACUUCCAUUGCAGGAAGUAACCAAGUUCAACUCUAUUUCUUUGUCCAGGUAUGCUGUGUGAUCAACUGAAUUAUUUUCUUUUCAUUGAAUGGUAGAUUUCUUGUGAUGCCAUAGAAACUAAAAAUGUUACCUUUUUCUAAGAUAAUGGAGUUCUCAUAAUUCAUUUGUUUUCCCAAUCUUCUGUGUAUUAGUGAUUCAGUGCAACAAGCAAAUUUUAACUUCAAUUUUCUUUUUCGCUUCUAUAUUCAUGUUUUUCUUGUUAUAAUUCGUCGUUAUCAAUCAUUUCUUGGACAGUAAAUUGAUUGUUGGACAAAUCCAGCAGUCGGAUACUAGAUGAGAGAGAAAGUACUGGAAGCUCCCCAGAAAGAAGGUUAGAGCUGAAAUCUAGGACCUCAAGAUGAGUCAAGGACAAGAAGGAAGCAACACUUUGAUGUAGGGAAUUUUGGGAGAGAUUCAAGUGGGUGAGAUUUUCAAGUGCUAGUUUUGAUGAAGCAAAUGUAAUACCUUGUUUGAGUGUGAGGCCAUCGGAGGGCAAUGAGAUACGGGUGACGCAACCAGCCGCAUCGCAGUUGAUGCCUUGCCAGCGGCAACAGCCACCGGAAGUCCAGUUUAAGGAAGAGGGGGAAGAAAGAGCCAGAGAGAAGGACAAGAGAGAAGUAUGUUCAGUUGGGUUGCAUGCAUGGAUGAUACUAGCAGUACUACUCAGUAUGCAACAGAAUACGAUAAGAAAAAGAAGGAAACAAUGAGGGAAUUGAUGAUCUAGACGUGGACAACAACAACGAGCAUGAAACCGCAGGGCUCCUUUCGUCAACUCCCUGGUUUUAUGUUCCUGCUGGGAUUGGGUUCACUGUACGAUUCUGGGGAGUGUGGUUCAUUGAAGGUACAAGACAUGUUCUCCGUGACGAUCGCUGUGUGUAUCAACAAGAUGAAGAGAAGGCUAGACCUGAAUUCGUAAUUACCCACUGUUGCUUGUUUUCAAUUGUGAAUUUGUGGCACCUGAAUCGUGAGUGAUGCUGCUGAAAUGCUUCCUCUUUUUCAUAAGUUCAAUACACACCUUCCUCUUAAGGAAAACUAAAUCAGUAACAGGGUUUCAAAUGGGAUGAUAGUUCUAUAAUAUGAUUCCAACAUAAUCAUCAACUCACUGAAAAUGAGAGGAGAAAACAUUCAAUGAAUCAGCAGGGAGCACCGCAAAUUGCAAAGAUUAUUCCGCAUGUGUCUUCUAGUAACUAUUAUAUAAAGAACUGUAUGAAACAAUACAGCUUGCAUUGAAAAUGUCAAAUAUUUGUACAAUUAAUGGCUCUAAUAUGACACCCUCAAAUUCAAAACUGCAUCGGCUUGAACAACAGAGGUUUCUAGCUAAAUUUGCUAACUUAUAUUUCCCUUGAACUAAACAUUCCUAUUCCUUUCCUCCUAUUUCCCCCUCAUUUACAAGAUCAACUCUAUCCUAUAUCCAUCCCUACAAAACAGUUAGUUGUAUGUACACAUAAACUUACAAAACCCACAGAAAGCCCUCUUCCCUGGUUGAUACUGCAGAAGUGAAGGAUAGAUAUACUUGGCGGCCAAGUCAAGGGAGACUUUAGUUUUUAGUUUCACAAGCACCAGUUCACAUCACAUCAUCGCAUUCAAUCUUACUGAUUCUUCUCACUGAGAACUCUUGACACUUGGAUGGGACUGAGCUGUAGAGCUGAGUUCUGCCGUAGGGUAUCACCUGUUACCUAGCCCAUCUUUGCAUUUGAAGUCGUGAGAGACUCGCUUACAUAGUGUAUGCCUGGCCUGUACAUGAACGAGGCCUAAUAAAUUAGUGGUUCAAGACACUCAAUAAUUUCAACACACAUUUCUUCUGCAAGCAAAGUUAUUUUAGUAACUAAUGCAUUGGAAGUACAUAUUGAAAUGAGAAGCGCAUCAAGUAUGUCAUUUUGGUAAGACAAACAUGAUAGUGAAGAAUAUGAAUGACACUUGGUUGUUUCUUCUCAGGGAAAAAAAGGAAGAAGUAAGCAAUGGAAGAUUACCUUGUCAUCAUUUCUGAUUUGUGGCCCAUAACCUGCCAGCAGGGAAACAUAGUCCACGUCCAGCCCAAGCAUUCAAAUCCCUGCAUAUGCGCUCUCAGACCAAAGGAGAAAAAAAAUAACUGAAGAGCCAUCAGGGCAAGGCUUCCAAGGUUAUUGAUGCUUUUGUAAAAACAGAGAGAACAAAUGGAGCUUCUUCGCCAGGGUGUAACCUUUUGGAUCUGGAUCCAAAACCAUUUCACACAAUAUUUCUCGUGAAUUAACAUAAUUUGUCCCACCGACUGAUUCAUGUAGGUAUAUAUUGUAAGCAGCUCGGCGGCCUCGGGUUUUAAGAAAAGAAAAGGAAGAAAAAGAAAACAGAAGUGACAUCAAUGAGAUCAGACUGAAUGGUAAUAGAUAGGCCAUCAACGGUAACUCUGAGAUAGACCCUCUGGGAUUAGCUCAGGUGAUGAUGGGUGGGGGAAAGGAAACUAGAAGGUAAGACUAAUAUGAUGUGGAUAAACACAUUACAAUAAACAAACCUGUGGAAUAUGCUUCAGCUUGUGCUUCAUCCUAUCAGUCCAUUCAGGCGAUGAGUCAGACCAAGGGCCAUUCCACUCAACUUCAUUGGCCCAUGGAUUCCGAAUCUGAAUAAGCUUGUGACCAUCCACCUCUCUCACCUGAGUUGAAAAGAUUAGCUAGUGUGACUACCUUGAUCAAAAUUCAUUUAGUUGCAUAUCAAAAGCAAAUGUCAGGUGGACAUUCCAACUCACCUGCAAUAAUGAGUAAGCAUGACCUUGGACAAUGCCACUGGAGGAAAUAUGUACAUCUGAACCAGAUGGACUUCCAGCACCCAGAUGAAAUCCCUCUUGUUUGAAGCGCAACAACUGAGACCAUAAUCGACCACUCACAAGAUCAAUUUGGGCCUGAGCACUCCUCAUGUCAAUCUCUUCCCCCGCACCUCCAGUGAGGUCUACAAGAGCAUCUUGGACAAGUCCACCUUCUAAAGCUUCAUAGGAGCCAUGCAAUUUGGCAUAAGCCUUCUCCAGUAAAGAGAUCCACAACUCGUUACCUUUUCUGCUAGUAGCAAAUGCUGGUUUACCCGGUGAUUCGCAUGGAAUCCAAUCAUCAACAACAACAUGAACCCACUCACCCUAAAGAAAAUUCNNNNNNNNNNNNNNNNNNNNNNNNNNNNNNNNNNNNNNNNNNNNNNNNNNNNNNNNNNNNNNNNNNNNNNNNNNNNNNNNNNNNNNNNNNNNNNNNNNNNNNNNNNNNNNNNNNNNNNNNNNNNNNNNNNNNNNNNNNNNNNNNNNNNNNNNNNNNNNNNNNNNNNNNNNNNNNNNNNNNNNNNNNNNNNNNNNNNNNNNNNNNNNNNNNNNNNNNNNNNNNNNNNNNNNNNNNNNNNNNNNNNNNNNNNNNNNNNNNNNNNNNNNNNNNNNNNNNNNNNNNNNNNNNNNNNNNNNNNNNNNNNNNNNNNNNNNNNNNNNNNNNNNNNNNNNNNNNNNNNNNNNNNNNNNNNNNNNNNNNNNNNNNNNNNNNNNNNNNNNNNNNNNNNNNNNNNNNNNNNNNNNNNNNNNNNNNNNNNNNNNNNNNNNNNNNNNNNNNNNNNNNNNNNNNNNNNNNNNNNNNNNNNNNNNNNNNNNNNNNNNNNNNNNNNNNGAAUACAGAAGCGGACAGUGUAGAUUCCUUCCUCGUUAUAUUCUGGAGUAAUAAUAACUUCUGAUAUUCGAGAAACUUCCGUCAGAACAGCAACAGCACUCAAAAACCAACAAUCACCCAGUCGACCCUAUUUAGAAAACAAAGUCACUUGUGGAAACUGCUGGCCAACGUAAUUAGCAAAUUUAGAUGUCAAUUUCAUAAAGGGCCUAACCUGACAAAAAUUAGAAGGAUUCACAGUGCCAGAAAAUAAGCAGGGCCGAGCACCAAGCCUGCUCUCUUUUACAAUAUCAGCAGGUCUCAUCCAUUCUGAAACGGCCUAGAUUCGCAAAAACCAAAAUUUUAGGACAUUUAAAAUCAGACUCAUUAAACAUAAAAAGUGGUCAGCAAAGUCAGAGAAACUUACCUGCAACUUUGAGGGGGGAUUUUCUGAAUCUACAAAUAAUGAUUGAUCAUUUGGAGGAAACUCCUGAUCAGUAAAAUUUGUUUCUCCUCUUGCACAGAGAGCUUCUUUGACAGCCAAUUCAACAGAAAGCAUACGUUGAUAUAUUUCUUCUUGUGUUUCCAUCCUAGGUUUCCUAAACCUCCUGGCAAAAGAAUCCAUAUCAACCAGAACUCCAUCACGUUCUGACCUUCUUUUCCUCCCACUUGAAUAUUGCCCAUCCCAAUCAAUGUCAUCCCUAUCAUAUAGAUCUACAUCGGCAGGAUCACUAUCCCAUUCAUCAACCUAGUGAAGAAAACAAAACAAAACAAGAAUCAGAAACAGACAUCCUCGAUAUACGAGCAUGGAUAUGUAAUCAUGUAAUAAGAUGAAAACCACAUACUCUAGAAGGUGAAUCUGCCCACUGCCAAGCAUCUUCAGGAAAGUCUAUCAUACUAGUGUCAGCUGACCCAACAGCUGCAUGGAGAGCUGCAAUGUCAUCCUCAGUUAAGCACCUUCCCCAUAGAAACACAUCCAUAAUAUGCAUCUUAGACUCAGCCCCUUCACUAUCUGACCUCCCAAAUGCAUCCAUAUCUGUAAGCGGUCUAGCACCUACCCAAACUUCGGUUCCUAGCUCCCAAAUAGUAUUGCCCACAUGCCAUCAAAACCACCAUCGAGAUAGCAAGUGGCCUCACCUAAAUCAGCAUCAAAUGUCAUUGUUACCAAAUGCCGCCUGAAAUGUAAGCAAGGACUCCUGUGAGAUUCAACAGCUAUCAACAAAAAAGUAGCAUAAUUAAGCACUGAUUCCCUCUACCCAACACUUAGUAACCAAAAAUAAAUAAAAAAUCAUGGUCGCACGCACAUAUACACACAAGAAAGGACGGAGCCAAAAUUCCAAAACAAUUUGGGCUAAACUUUCUUUGAUAAAAAUUUCAAAAUGUAUGAAAAUAAAUAAAUUAAUAAUGCUUGUAUCGAGUAUCUAACAUUAAGAAAAUAUUUUUCACUUCUUAAUCUCCGACAUUAGGAAAAUCAAUCUAGAAGGGUAGAAGUGAUAUUGAUAGACAAGGAGAAUUCAUAAAAUUAUCAGAUUCACAUCCCCAAAUUCAUAGACUUAGUAAGAACUAAGAAAGAGAUUAGAAUUAAAAUUUUGAAAUUCGAUGUAACAAGCUAGAGAACAAAAUACCAAUAUACAACAUACUUAGAAAAUCGAAUAAAAUUGAGAAAAAAUAUCUCAAAGAAGAAGUUGGAGACUUGGACUUAAUAUGGACUAAUGGAUCUUUUUAAAUGAAUAAAAAAAAGUGAUGGUGGCUCGUAGAAUAAGACUUGGGCCUAUUACAAUCCUUAUUUAGUAUAACAUAAUAGGUUUUGACUUCAUUUAAUUACUUUUUACAUGGGCUAAUGGUGCUUAACUCAUAUAAUAUAAUCUAUGCUAUUUGAAAAAAGGGAAAAAAGUGUCUGGGCUGUAGCCCAGAGACCGGUGUACUAUCUCCGUCCCUGCACACAAGGUUGUAAGAAGGAUUAUGCCAAUAUUAUAUUUACAAAAAACAAUGCCAAUAAUUUUGUUCGUAAAACGAUUAUGCUCAAACCUUCCAUCUGCAAUACUAGUUGCACCAAUACUCCAUUCUUUUGCAACAGUUGUUUGUCUGAAGCCUUUAGUGAUCAAUCUAAGCCCAAGUUGGUAUUUUGGUUUUUGAGAUUGAAAUACAGAAACAACAUAUGACUUUGAGAUUACUACCAAACAACAUAGAAUCCAGACCGUAUUGAUCCUAAUACACAAAUAAUGGAGCUAAGUAGCUAAGACACUAUAUCCUUGAUGUCAUCAUGUUGUUGGGUUCCCUCAUUAAGUGGUGUUGAUCGGAGUAUGGAGUGUUGCCAGUAACAGCCCACUCUGAUUCUUGAGAUCUUGGCAAUUUUACCUUUGUGGGGCAAUUUUAGGGGAGAUGGUCGCCAAACUUGUAACAACGUAAACAAAUCAUGGGAACAAUACCAGUAGCGGGUCCUCAAAUGGGUUCACCAUUCUCCUUUGUACCAUAGUUCCUAUAUGUCCUUGCAUAUCCCUUUGGUAUCUCCUCCUCAUCAUCACCAUCAUCAUCAUCAUCACUGCCGCCUACGAUGUCGUCUGUAUCUCCUUUGCCAAUGUCUUUAUAUGGUAUACAUGUUAAGUUGUGACUCUCACCACCACAGACUUCACAACGAUCGACUGCAACCUUGCCUUCUCUUUUCAUUUGCUCGGCUUCUUUUUCCCAUUUUCUCUGGUAUUGGUAUAGUUCCAUUAUAAUAGACGAUGAUGAACGUUUCAAAAAAAAAAAUGAUGAUGAUGAUAGAGUUACAACUCAUACCCCUUUUGCUCUCUUUCACUCUAUGUUAUUGAGUUUAUCUAGUCUAUAGAAAACAGAGUUAACAAAAGACUAGCAUCUACGAAAUGAGAACCUAAAUAUUGUUACCAAAUUCGAGUUUCAAUUGAUGCAGCAUAUUAAGCCUAGAAUAAUGCACACACCAUGCAUCACAAUACGUGCCACUCUCCACCUCCAAAAGAGAAUCUUCAGAAAGUAUUACCACUGAAACCGGCAAAAUAAGCUUAGACAGAGUUUGCAAGGGGCAGCCCUGCUAUUACAACACAAUACAGUAGUGAAAUUACAGCUACCUAUACAUAUCUUUGUCUUCUUAACCAAUCUAAAUUAAUUGAUUAACACUAUUGUGAGGUGUGAACUAGAAACUAACGGUCACAUUGCCGAAAAAAAAUGAACCCUUCUGUGGAGGAUCACUCGCUGAUGUUGUUGGAUGGCUUCUGUUAAGAAUUUGGCACUAGCCGACCAUUGUACAUCUUCUCAAGUAGUUGCUUUAGAUCAGGCCUCCUGAGAAGACCUUUGUUGUUUGGUACACCUGUCCCUAAACAUACGGGCAAACAAAUUUCCCACGACCUGACCACAAGAAGAACCAAUCACUCAUCAAAGAAAAUGAGUAUCCAUAACAGUAGGAUACAACACAACAGAAUGUUGAUAUGGGAGGGAAAAGCAAUGGCUCCAAAUUCACAAGUAUCUGCUACGGUUUAUGACGGCUCUUAUUUUUAUAUUUUCUUGAUUCAGUUUCUGAUGACUACAAAUGCAACAGAACUGUAAUAGUAUAUCGAUUGUUUUUUUUUUUUUUUUUCAAGUAAAUAUAGGAAAAAAAUCAGAAAUAUGAUGAAUACCAAUGGGAAUUCAUACCAUAACAAUUUGGCGUUCUGUAAACUUAUAUACAUCUUUAGCUCGUUUUCUAUUGAGAGCUUUCCAUUUUGCAGUACCAUCACACAUAUCACCUAAACGAAAAGCAAAUGAACAACUCAUCGGCGAAGGUAUAUACCACAUGUAACAGUACAUCUAAACUGAAUGGGAAAAGGAAAUCCAAAUAAUGUAUGUGUCCCAAGCAAUGUAAUGUACAGAUUUUUCAACGUAUUAUAGCUAACAGGAGAAGAAGAAGCACUCUGUUUCUCCCCAAACAAGCCAAAGCAAAAACUUUGAGGCAUAAUCUAAAGCAUCUCAGUUAGUUGAGUCUAACCAGCAUAACUAAUUUUUGGGAUGAAGAAAACCAGGAACCAAUUACCAACAAAGAAAACAGGAGCUCAUAUAUGAAAUGAUUAUGGCCACUGAAAAACUCAAGAGUUCGUUUUCUAGCUGAACCAUUGAACCAAUAUAAUCUAUACAUAACUUCUCUGCACACGCGAAUAGUUGGCUAAAAAUAUAAUACCAGAGGAGUGGAUGCGCUCAUGCGCAGUUUAUCUUCCUACAUGAAUAUUGGGGAGGUAAUCAGGUAAGUAUAAUAUCUGAGAAGGAUUUACAGGGAAGAUCCCAAUAUAAUGAAAUCGAGAUCAUGUCCAACCAUGGAUAACAAAAGGCAACAUUCCAGUUCCCCCACAAUUCCGGCCCCCAAGUGGUCUGUCUUUUCCAUCCAGUGCAACUGCCUUUAGAGAGUUGCUUAUCCGUCGGUAUAAGAUUUGUUGGCUAUCCCUUAUGGUCAAAACACACAAGACACAAGCUGCACUUCAUGUCCUGAAUGCAUAAAAUAGCUCAAGUGAAGAUUGAAGACCUGACCGUUCUCAAGUGCAUCAGGUAGUUCAUAUGCAUAUGCAUCACAUAUCCUUCACUGAGGAUGACAAGUGAAGAUUUGGAUGAUACCCUAGUUUGUAUCUGUCUUAAUCUCUAAGUCUGACUUCAUGCAUAUUUAAAUGUAUUUGCUUCAGCUUUUCAAGUAUUUAAAUUUCAAAUCUCUAUUAAUAAAACAUUUUUCAUUGUGCUUGAGCUCCAAGUUAGUCUAGGGUUGUGUUGUUCUUCCAACCAAUGAGCACAUGACUAAAGCACUUUUAGGUCAGCUCUUUUUUUAGUCCAACUGGGUUUUGUGAUACACAGACCAAGUCAGCUACUGACCCAUGUGAGGCACCGCCCAAGCUAUAUAGCCGGUCUAAGUGUCCUCUUUAGAAUUAGUGGUUUUGUGAUGUCUUAUCACCUAUUUAAAACUGAUUUAGUUUUCAAAACCCUUGACUCUUUCUCUUGGCUUCAUUCCCAUUUGGGAAAAUCUCACUUGGCUUUUGUCUUAGGCGUGAUGGAUCCGUCAGAUCAUAUCUAUCUUACUUUUGGUGAGACAAAACACUACAGUCCAAAAUGAAGCCUUCUUGAUUUGGUAAUUGUGCGUGCCCUUUCAUGGCUGGUACUUUGCCUAUAUAUAUAUAAGGCUCUGCUCCUCAUACUCUUUGGUUGUUGAAAAUUGUCAUUUGCAUUUAGCAUUAUUUCUUCUUUGCUCCUUUGCUCUAAGUCUUCAUCGUUGAUUAUAAAUCUUAGAGCUGAGCACCAAACAUUUUCAAAACCCAUAUCAUUGUUCAUUGUUCAUUGUUCAUGCAUACCUUGAGAGCGGUCUAGGUGAUGCAACCCGGUGAAGUCUUCAUAGAGAAUUAGCUAGGGAGUUAGUUAAGUUCAUGUGAAGCAUGUUGUAAGCUGUCUUAGAGAAUUAGCUAAUGGCGUUAGUUAAGUUCUGCUUUGAAGCAUGGCAUAAUCCUAUGUGCAAAACACUUGAGAGACAAGAGAGCAAGUUUAGUUGAGUGCUAGUAGUUAGACUAGGCAGUAUGGCUAGAUGUGGUGUCAUCCUCUGAGUUGUGAGUCUUGUAAAGAAAUGUGUUUAUAAUAGUGAAAAAGUUUUUGAAGCAUGGCAUAAUCCUAUGUGCAAAACACUUGAGAGACAAGAGAGCAAGUUUAGUUGAGUGCUAGUAGUUAGACUAGGCAGUAUGGCUAGGUGUGGUGUCAUCCUCUGAGUUAUGAGUCUUGUAAAGAAGUGUGUUUAUAAUAGUGAAAAAGUUUGUCCCUCAAGAGUUAAGAGCACACAGUUUUUCUCCCUGGGUGCAAGGUUUCUGCGAGUACAAAUGUACUGGUGUUAUAUCUUUACUUUCUAGUACUUGCAUAUUUACAUUUAUAACUUAGUCUCACAGUAAACAGAAUAGCCUAAUCUUUACUAUCCUUACGCGCGGGAUAGAGAAAAAAGUUGUCAAAGAUUAAGACCUGAAAUCCCUAAUGUCAAAACAUAUCCAUGGUAAGUUAUACAGUAUUGUUUUUGAGAGCCACCAAAACCAACUAUACUCUUCAAGUUAACAUUAUAAUAUAAGAAGAAUUAGGUUGAAAGUGCCACCCAAAACCAAAGCAGGAGCUAGUAGUCUCUGUCCACUUAAAAAUCCUUCCUAACUCAAACAUUUUAUCAGAAGAUAUCAAAGCAAUGGUGACGCCCACUACGCGGGAGACUCAUAAGAAAGACUAUCCUCUGUCUUCUCUUAAACAAAAUACUAAAUCCAUGAUUCAAGAGACAGAUUGAAUGAACUCUUCAUGGCCCAUAAAAGAGAAGAUUGAACAAAGCAAGUAUCAUUAAGAACAUAAAUGAUGUGUUAGCAGACAAGUAAGGACUAAUCAAACAACUUGCAUCAGGCAACAUGAAAGAAAUAAGCAUCAAGCCAACACAUAUCCCUUCAUUUUUUGUUGGAAACUAUAGUAAUCGCUUAUAAUCAAGAAGAUAGUUGACAGAAAAAAGAUCAAUACCUUCGAUGGUUUAGCUGAAUGGUCCGAAUCCUCUUGACUGCCACUCUUGUUGUCAAGAUUGGAUCUUACAUGAAAGUAUGAAACCCAACUGACUUUGAGUUCACUGCAUACAAAUGAUAGUUAAAACCAUUGUCUAAUCAACAAUAACAUCUCUACAUAUGCUACUGUAUUCAUGCUUUUAUAGAUACAUGCAACUAAAGAAACAGAAAACCAGAUAAGAGUAUCUGAAGGGAACUAACUGGUUUAAGUUGCAGAGAGAAAAAGAACACUUACAGUGGGCUGGUGAGGAUUUUGGUAGGCGUUGCGGGAUGGCUGACUGGCUGAGAGAUGAGAGGAAGAAGAAGAAGAAGCCAUCUUCUCUCUUUCUAUGUUCCCCACGACAACGUAGAAAGAGGAAGAUUCCAAUCAAGAAGAAGAACCUUGAUUGCUCAGUGUGAGACUCUUCUAUUUCGUAUAACAUUUCAUUGCUUUUGAAAGAAGAUGAGUUUCAAUUACUGAAUAUGAAUAUAUGAUAUGAUCACUAGAGAAGAAAUAUGAAAUAGAAGAAACUCUAGCUACCUAUAAUUAGAAUAGAAUGGCAUCCCCCCUCUGUUAUAUAUUGUUGGAAAAAAAAAAAAAAAAACAAUGCAACUUGGGCUUUUAGCGGGCUAGGCGGAGUUGGUCCACGUCUAGGCGCUCUGGGUGGUUAUGUGUCUAGACCUAACGAGUAACGGAAAACGAGCCGUGAUUCACCUAGGCCUAACGGGUAACAGGCCAUGAUGAGCCUAGACCUACGUAUUGUAUUCGAUCAUAACGAGGUACAGGUAACGGGUAUGGGGAUUCCCAGUAUUCAGAUUUUUGAAUCAGGUAUGAGACAUGUAUGAUUAUUUGAUAUUUGUUCUCAUCCCCACUCAUUUAGGAUUGGAAAUAUUAUUAUAUAUAAUUUAUUUUAUAUAUAUUUUUUAAUAUAUAUAAUUUAUAAAUAGAUAUUUAUGUAAAAAUCUUCUGCAAUAAUUUUUUUUUUCUGAUUCUUAUAGUGAAUAUUUAUAGAAACUUUCUUUUUAAGUCGAGAGUUGUAUUCAUUUUUGUUAAAUUGAAUCAAGAAACUUAUUUAUUUUGAUAUUUGAUUCUAGUUUCAUAUUUCUAUAUUUCUAAAUUUUAAAAAAAAUUAAUUUAUUAAAUAAUUAUUAACGAGGAUCGGGGCAGGUAUGGGAACGUAAUCCCCAAAGGGAAAGGGGACGGGGAAUCCCUUACAGGGUCUGGGACGGGCAUGGGGAUUGGGAAUGAAAUAGGGUAUGUGUAUGAUUUUUUGAUCCACUGAGCAUACCCUCCCCAUUGUUCAUGUUAUGGCCUCAUUAUGCUCAUGUUAUGGUAAUUGCGUGUUCUACAGCAUUUCUAAGUUUCCAGUACUAAUGUCCUUAAAAGUAUUUCUUAUAUCUUUCUUAGUAGCAGUAUUAGUACUAAGAAAAAUUCUGUGUAAGAUGGUUUUGGUCUUGUGCCUCCCUAUGAAUACACCUGCAUAAUCAUACAAGUAUCGCUCAAAAUAUAUUGUUUGUCUCCUUUCAUGCAGCUUUCAUUUUAGGACAUGUGUUUCUCCAAAAUAUUUAUUAAAAUGUGACAACAUUCAUCGAUCAUGAACUUGGUAACAAUAUCUAGUGUUCAUUAAGAGGAACUUCCUCGUACCUAGUAAGAAGUUCAACAUAAGAAACUUGAAAUUGAUUUCAGGCCUUGUAUCUUAGCCCAUUAAGGUUGGGUCGUGUUUGGAAACCGACCCACCAAACUAAGUCCCUUCAAAUUCGCCUGCAGACGCAUUGAACCGGCUGCUCUAUUUAACGCUCCGGUUCGGCGCGUGGAGGUUACCCGCUUCUUGCUUCAACUCCGUCGUCCCCUUCCUCCGCUCUGCUUGAAAUGGAGUCAAGGUACUUUCUACUCUUUCUAUUACAUUUUCGGUGGAUUCAAACUUGUUUGGGUUGUCUUUUAUUCUGUACGGAUUUUUGGGAUUGUGAUCGAUGAUUAAUGGUUGGGUUUAACUUGAUCAUUGUUGAUUGGGUUUAAUUUACUUGAUCAUUGUAUGAGCUCAUUAUUACGCACGGGCUAAGCAUGACUGCUGUCCUUCCUAUGAAAGCACAACGGUUGCUGGUAAUUUCAUAGUACUAUAGUCUACCUAACUACUACUCCGGUAUUGGCAGUUAAGUAUUCGUAAGGUGAUAACAUUGUUGCUAGCUUUCAGAAUUUUGGUUCCAGUUGCUUUGUUCCCUUGUUGCUUACAUAUAUUAUCCUGUAUUAUUCUUAAAAUCUGACUAAACCAUGCCUCUGGAUCGUUUUUAGUGAGUCUACUUCUUUUGACCACAAUGAUACAUGAAUCUAUACUAUCACAGUAUGUAGUGUUCUGCAAAUUAUGUCAUUGAAAUUGAUAUAUAGAAGCACUUGAGUAUGGUUGCAUGAUCACACUUAGAUUUGAAGAUGAAGGAUUCAUUUAGUUUCGCAAAAGCAAGAAUUGUUGUGUAUAACCAUCAAGUUGAAUUCAUUGUAAUUUAGACACAAACAUGAAUGUUGUUCAAUGAAAGAUUAAAGAGCAAUAGAGGUAUGAUUUGAAGUAUGGAAAGAUUAUCAUUGGUGUAUUACGUACAAUUUGAUUGUACACCUCUGCUGAAAUUAUAGAAACAUGGUGAAUGCUCCUAAAGUUAGCCAAUACCUGGUUAAGCUCCCUGUCUUAACUCCUUGAACAAAAAUGCUUACGAUAUCUUGUUUUUAUUUAUUUGUGCCUUGCAUUAUAAGUCCGAAGUUAUAAUUUUGAGUAUUACUGGUAGACUUGUCAUGUUUCAAAUCAACAGAGCUCAUUUCUGCAUGUACUUCAUUCGUAAUGGUUAUUCAGCGCAAUGAAAUUUUCUACUUGCAUUUUAUCAAUUUGGAUUACAUAGCUUUGACACAUAAGUUUCUCUCAUGUGUCAAUAUAUUCCAAAGGUUGUUGAUCAAGCUGAAGCUGCUAAGUUGAUUGAUCCAACUGAUGUGCCAAUGUACCAGCCUGUGAAAUAAAACUUCCAAAGGGGUUCCAGCUGCAGCCAUCCCAUAGAAUUCACGAUAGUGAACAGAUGACAUGAUCAGAAAAAUGCCUCGGUAUGUUCACCUUUUUUUACCAGUCUUUACUCUUUUGAUUUGUACUUUCUAAAUCAUGCUAGUGUUGUUGUUUUUUUCUAUGCUAAUACAUUGCUCGGCUUUCACAUAUUACCCUUGUAUUACUAAUCAAAGGUUUUAUCUCUUAGAUUUACUAAUUCUGAAAACCAAAUUUGGAAAGGCUUGGUCUUGGCGUUGGAGACUGAGAUGAGUGAAUCGAUUCUCUGUUUAUUUUUAGCCAAUUUUCAUUUCCUCAGUCGAUUUCAUUUCUCUAUAGAACUUAGAAAUGUUAGAAUGGUUUUGGUAAAAAAGAAAGCAGAGUCCUCCAAGACCCAAGGUCAAGAUGCCUACUAAUCACGGGGUGAGAUUAAUUAGAGAACUGUUUGAUAUCAUUUUCACACAUUUUAAAGUAUUAAGCAAGUUUCGGAUCAACUUCCAGUUUUGUAGUUUAAUUAUCUUAUUGGCCGGCGGCAAGUUGAGAUAUUAUAACAUCUGGGUUUGAUAUUUUCUCAAGCAAUAGGUUUUAAAUACUUGACAUUUCUGUAUCAUGACAUUUUCACCGUACCAUGUGAAACCGAAGAUUAGGAUCACCUUGUUCAGACAACUAACUCAUUUAAAAUGACUUCUAUGGCCAAGUUGUUAGUUAUCUAUGUCAUGGUCGCUAACAACUUUCUCAAGCUUUUGCCUUUGGUGGGUUCCAAUGAGGCAAUGACCUGCAAUAGUUGACAUUAUUGGCUCUCUUGUUGUUUCCAGUGAAUAUCAAUGAUACAUUUCCAGUGAAUUGAGUAGGAAAAGCUGCUGUAAAUUUGCCUACCGAUUGUAAGGGCAAGGAGGAUAGCUUUAGAGUGUAAGGGUCUACCGAUUGCAUUGAUAGCUGUUGCAAGGGCGCUCGGAGAUGAGGACUUGGAGGAAUGGGAGAAGGCAGCUGAACGACUAGAGCAGUCGAAAUAUGUCAAUCCUAACCAUGAGGAAGAUGCAUUCCAAUGUAUAAGAUUAAGCUAUAAUUACUUGAAAGAUGGGGAUUCCAAGUCAUGCUUCUUGCUCUGUUGCCUGUUCCCAGAAGACCGUAACAUCGAAAUAGAAGACUUGUUCCGGUACGCGAUCGGAAAAAGAUUGUUUCGAGAUGCCCAAACAAUGGAAGAAGCCAGAGGAAAAUUAGUUACAGUGGUCAAGUACCUGAAAGGUUCUAGCUUGCUUUUGGAUAGUGAGGAAGAAGGAUGUGUUAAGAUGCAUGAUGUCAUCCGGGAUACAGCCCUGAAUAUUGCACAAUCUGAAGAUGGGCAUCGGUUUUUUGUGAAAGCUGGCUGUGGUUUAAAGGGUUGGCGGCCACGCGGAUUACAUGAAGGCUGCACUGCUAUUUCACUAAUGAGGAACAAAAUUCGCAAGCUACCCGAAGAAGAGUUGGUAUGUCCAAAUCUCCAGAUUUUAUUACUAAACAGGAAUUUUGGACUAAGUGAGAUCCCCGAAAAGUUGAUCCAGAAUCUGAAAGAGUUAAGGGUCUUGGAUCUUAGCAACACUAGUAUUUCCGUAUUACCCCAAUCAUUUAGUCUCCUCACCAACCUCCAAGCUUUGUAUUUAGAUGAUUGCAGCAAAUUAAUUGACAUUUCCGUUGUGGGGAAACUUAACAAGCUUGAAAUUCUUAGUAUGAGAGGUUGUCCCAGGGGGCAAUUGUUCAGAGAAAUAGAACAUUUGACCAAUCUACGGAUUUUGGACGUCAAUCGCUCUUGGGGACAAUUCAUAUUGAGAGGAAGAAUGGUUACAAUUCCAUCUAAAGUGAUAUCAAAGUUGCAAGAAUUAGAAGAAUUGUACAUGGUGUACUAUGUAUUUGAGGAGGAUGGGUCGUGUGUAGCUGAGGGACCAAGAGAAAGAACCAAUAUUAUUAGGUUUGAUGAGAUAGCUGGUUUAUCAAAUUUGAAAAUAUUGCAGGUUGGCUUAUCCGAUGAAGGUUUUAUCCCUAAAAAUGUUGAGGCCGCACCAGAUUGGGAUUACUUUUGUAUAAGUGUCUUCGGCAGAUGCAGCGACACUACAUUCUGGCCCGUUGCAUACAAACAAGGAGAUCGUAAUUCAAGAUCCUUGCUUCUUAAUGGAGCAACCAUCAAUACCUUGGCUGAUUGGUUUAUCAAAGCGGUGACAGAGAAAACAGAAAAGCUAGAGUACAACCGCUGCAAAGGGAUGAGUGACAUUGUUAUGGAAUAUGACCGUGGGAGGUUACAUAAACUCAAGCAUCUCACAGUUGCUGGGCCACAAGACGAGUUGAAAGAGUUGAUGAACACAACAAGACGAGUUGAAAUAGGACCAGUGUUUGAGAAUUUGGAAGAGUUGCAUCUGAAAUUAGUGUUCGACCUGGAGGAGUUGUGUGUUGGUGAGUUACCACCUGGGUCUCUCUCAAAUCUCAAGGUGUUUCAUGUGUAUUGUGGUUGGAUUUUGAGGAGUGUAUCAGAAUUUGUACAGAGACUACCAAAUCUGAAGAAACUAGAUUUAAACUCUAUGCUCAAAUUGGAACAUGUGUUCAGAUGCGAAGGGUUCGAGCCAGAACAAUCAAAACUGAGAGAGAUGCAUUUGUUGUGGCUAGAAGAACUAAGAAACAUAUGUAAUGGACUAAUGGUCCCGCUCCACGUGCAAUGUUCCAGAGUCUUAAGAUUUUGACGAUUUACCGUUGCGAGCUGCUGCAAAGUCUGUUCGCAUCUGAUGUAGCUCAGUGUCUUGUUCAAUUGGAAGACCUUCUUGUACAGGAUUUCCCUUUGUUGGAAAGAGUAAUGGAAGCAGUGAACAAGGAGAAGACGGUUCUACCAAAACUGAAGAACUUGGUUUUGAAGAAUCUUCCUAAUUUGUAUGGUGCAAUUGCUGUCGUUGAUAUUGAGUGUCCUUCAUUGGUACGCUUGAUGGUGGUGGAUUGCCCCAAGCUUUUGUUUUCAACCUCUUCCGAUCUCUUCGAAGCCUUCAAAUGCAGGAACCAAUUUUCAUUUUCAGCCUCCACGUCUGACCCAGUCCAACUCGAUGAUCCACAACAUUACCAAACUCUACGUGGCAGGUAUUGAAAUAGUUUCUUAGUUUGUUCUUUUCUUCUGUAUUUUGUAGGGCAGCAAUUGGGCAAAAACUGAUUUGAUCAAUUAAUAUCUGUGAUUCAAUUUUUAUUCGUCCCACUCUUUUAAAACAAUUGAGCUCUAACUAUAGGACAGAACACGAAACACAAUUAAAAUAGUAUUUUUAUUUUCAUUCUUAUUUUUCUUUGUUAUCUGUGAACAACAACAAAAAAGUCAAAAUUAUGCACAAUAUUUAAAGUUGAUGAUUGUUUCGUUUUCUUUACUCUAGUAAUGCAAGUUAGAAGCAAUGUUAUGGACACUCCUAGAAUGUUACUUUUCUGUUUAAAUCUAUAAUUUUAAUAGUAAUUCUUUUUUCUUUUCUUUUUUUUCCUAUUUUGAUGCAACAGAACAUCUGGUUUCCACUAGUGAAGUCUCUAGCUCAGCUUCUGACUUCCAUUGCAGGAAGUAACCAAGUUCAACUCUAUUUCUUUGUCCAGGUAUGCUAUGUGAUCAACUGAAUUAUUUUCUUUUCAUUGAAUGGUAAAUUUCUUGUGAUUCCAUAGAAACUACAAAUGUCACCUUUUUCUAAGAUAAUGGAGUUCUCAUAAUUCAUUGGCUUUCCCAGUCUUCUGUGUAUUAGUGAUUCAGUGCAACAAGCAAAAUUUUAACUACAAUUUUCUUUUUCGCUCCUAUGUUCUUAUUUUUCUUGUUAUAAUUCGUCGUUAUCAAUCAUUUCUUGGACAGUAAAUUGGUUGUUGGACAAAUCCAGCACGCGGAUACUAGAUGAGAGAGAAAGUACUGGAAGCUCCCCAGAAAGAAGGUUAGAGCUGAAAUCAAGGACCUCAAGAUGAGUCAAGGACAAGAAGGAAGCAACACUUUGAUGUAGAAAAUUUUGGGAGAGAUUCAAGUGGGUGAGAUGUGUGAGAUUUUCAAGUGCUAGUUUUGAUGAAGCAAAUGUAAUACAUUGUUUGAGUGUGAGGCCAUCGGAGGCCAAUGAGAUACGGGUGACCCAACCAGCCGCAUCGCAGUUGAUGCCUUGCCAGCAGCAACAGCCACCGGAAGUCCAGUUUAAGGAAGAAAGAGAAGAAAGAGCCAGAGAGAAGUAUGUUCAGUUGGGUUGCAUGCAUGGAUGAUACUAGCAGUACUACUUAGUAUGUAACAGAAUACGAUAAGAAAAAGAAGGAAACAAUGAGAAUUGAUGAUCUAGACGUGGACAACAACAACGAGCAUGAAACCGCAUGGCUCCUUUCGUCAACUCCCUGGUUUUAUGUUCUUGCUGGGAUUGGGUUCAUUGUAGGAUUCUGGGGAGUGUGUGGUUCAUUGAUUUUCAGCGAGACACGGAGAUAUGCAUACUUCCGUUUCAUAGAAAAGGUACAAGACAUGUUCUACGUGACGAUCGCUGUGUGUAUCAAGUACCAACAAGAUGAAGAGAAGGCUGGACCUGAAUUUGUAAUUACCCACUGUUGCUUGUUUUCAAUUGUGAAUUUGUGGCACCUGAAUCGUGAGUGAUGCUGCUGAAAUGCUUCCUCUUUUUCAUUAGUUCAAUCCACACCUUCCUCUUAAGGAAAACUAAAUCAGUAACAGGGUUUCAAAUGGGAUGAGAGUUCUAUAAUAUGACCAACAUAAUCAUCAACUCACUGAAAAUGAGAGGAGAAAACAUUCAAUGAAUCAGCAGGGAGCACCGCAAAUUGCAAAGAUUAUUCCGCAUGUGUCUUCUAGUACCUGUUAUAUAAAGAACUGUAUGAAACAAUACAGCUUGCAUUGAAAAUGUCAAAUAUUUGUACAAUUAAUGGCUCUAAUAUGACACCCUCAAAUUCAAAACUGCAUCGGCUUGAACAACACAGGAUUCUAGCUAAAUUUGCUAACAACACAGGAUUCUAGCUAAAUUCAAAACUCGCCGGUGUUGUUGGAUGGUUUCUGUUAAGAAUUUGGCACUAGCCGACCAUUGUACAUCUUCUCAAGUAGAUGCUUUGCAUCAGGCCUCCUGAGAAGACCUUUGUUGUUUGGUACACCAGUCCCUAAACAUACGGGCAAACGAGUUUUCCACAACCUGACAAUAAUAAGAACCAAUCACUCAUCAAAGAUAAUGAGUAUCCAUAACAGUAGGAUACAAACAUUAUUUCUUCUUUGCUCCUUUGCUCUAAGUCUUCAUCGUUGAUUAUAAAUCUUAGAGCUGAGCACCAAAUAUUUUCAAAACCCAUAUCAUUGUUCAUUGUUCAUGCAUACUUUGGGAGCGGUCUAGGUGAUGCAACCUGGUGAAAUCUUCAUAGAGAAUUCGCUAGGGAGUUAGUUAAGUUCGUGUGAACCAUGUUGUAAGCUGUCUCAGAGAAUUAGCCAAAGGCGUUAGUUAAGUUCUGCUUUGAAGCCUAGCAUAAUCUUAUGUGUAAAACACUUGAGAGACAAGAGAGCAAGUUCGGUUGAGUGCUAGCAGUUAGACUAGGCAGUAUGGCUAGGCGUGGUGACAUCCUCUGAGUUGUGAGUCUUGUAAAGAAGUGUGUUUAGAAUAGUGAAAAAGUUUGUUCCUCAAGAUCAGUUAGGGGCACACAGUUUUUCUUCAUGGGUGCAAGGUUUCUGCGAGUAAAAAUGUACUUGUGUUAUAUCUUUACUUUCUAAUACUUACAUAUUUAUAUUCACAACUUAGUCUCACAGCAAACAGGAUAGCCUAAUCUUUGUUAUCCUUGUGCAUGAGAUAGAGCAAAAAGUUGUCAGAGAUUAAGGCCUGAAAUAUUCCCUAAUGUCAAAACAUAUCCAUGGUAAGUUAUACAAUAUUGUUUUUGUAAGCCACCAAAACCAACUAUACUCUUCAAGUUAACAUUAUAAUAUAAGAAGAAUUAGGUUGAAAGUGCCACAGAAAAGCAAAACAGGAGCUAGUAGUCUCUGUCCACUUAAAAAUCCUUCCUAACUCAAACAUUUCAUCAGAAGAUAUCAAAGCAAUGGUAAUGCCCACUACGCGAAAGACUCAUAAGAAAGACUCUAUCUUCUAUCUUCUCUUGAACAAAAUACUAAAUCCAUGAUUCAAGAGACAAAUUGAAUGAACUCUUCACGGCCCGUAAAAGAGAAGAUUGAACAAAGCAAGUAGCAUUAAGAACAUAAAUGAUGUGUCAGCAGACAAGUAAGGACUAAUCAAACAACUUGCAUCAGGCAACAUGAAAGAAAUAAGCAUCAAGCCAACACAUAUCCCUUCAUUUUUUGUUGGAAACUAUAGUAAUCGCUUAUAAUCAAGAUAGUUGACAGAAAAAAGAUCAAUACCUUCGAUGGUUUAGCUGAAUGGUCCGAAUCCUCUCGACUGCCACUCUUGUUGUCAAGAUUGGAUCUUACAUGAAAGUAUGAAACCCAACUGACUUUGAGUUCACUGCAUACAAAUGAUAGUUAAAACCAUUGCCUAAUCAACAAUAGCAUCUCUACAUAUGCUAUUGUAUUCAUGCUUUUAUAGAUACAUGCAACUAAAGAAACAGAAAACCAGAUAAGAGUAUCUGAAGGGAACUGACUGGUUUAAGUUGCAGAGAGAAAAAGAACACUUAUAGUGGGCUGGUGAGGAUUUUGGUAGGUGUUGCGGUAUGGCUGACUGGCUGAGAGAUGAGAGGAAGAAGAAGAAGCCAUCUUCUCUCUUUCUACGUUCCCCACGACAACGUAGAAAGAGGAAGAUUCCAAUCAAGAAGAAGAACCUUGAUUGCUCAGUGUGAGACUCUUCUCUUUCGUAUAACAUUUCAUUGCUUUUGAAAGAAAACAAGUUUUAAUUACUGAAUAUGAAUAUAUGAUACGAUCACUAGAGAAGAAAUAUGAAACAGAAGAAACUCUAGCUACCUAUAAUCAGAAUAGAAUGGCAUCCCCCCUCUAGUUAAAAAAAAAAAAAGACGACUUGGGUUUUUAGCGGGCUAGGCGGAGACGGUCCACGUCUAGGCGGUCUGGGCCGUGAUGAGUUUAGACCUAACGGGUAACGGGCCGUGAUUUACCUAGACUUAACGGGUAACAGGCCGUGAUGGGCCUAGACCUACGCAUUGUAUUCGAUCGUAACGGGGUACGGGGAUAAACGGGUAAUGGGUAUGGGGAUCCCCAAUAUUCGAAUUUUUGAAUCAGGUACGGGACGGGUAUGAUAUUUUGAUAUUUGUUCUUAUCCCCAUCCAUUUAGGAUUAGAAAUAUUAUUAUAUAUAAUUUAUUAUAUAUAUAUAUUAAUAUAUAUAAUUCAUAAAUAGAUGUUAUGUAAAAUUCUUUUGCAAUAUUAUUUUUUUUUUUGAUUCUCACCAUGAAUAUUUAUAGAAACUUUCUUNNNNNNNNNNNNNNNNNNNNUUUUUAAGCGAGACUUGUAUUUGUUUUUGUUAAAUUGAAUCAAUAAACUUAUUUAUUUUGAUAUUUGAUUCUAAUUUCAUAUUUCUAUAUUUCUAAAUUUUAAAAAAAAUUAAUUUAUUAAAUAAUUGUUAAUAGGGAUCGGAACGGGUAUGAGAACGUAAUCCCAAAGAGGACGGGGACGGGGAUGGGGAAUCCCUUACCGGGUUUGAGAUGGGCAUGAGGAUUGAGAAUGAAAUGGUGUAUGGGUAUAAUUUUUUGAUCGCCUGACCAUACCCUCCCCAUUACUCAUGUUAUGGCCUCGUUAUGCUCAUGUUACGGUAAUUGCGUGUUCUACAGCAUUUCUGAAUUUCCAGUACUAAUGUCCUUGAAAGUAUUUCUUAUAUAUUUCCUAGUAGCAGUAUCAGUAUUAGUACUUGAAAUUGAUGGUUUUGGUCUUGUGCUUCCCUAUAACAUGAAGUUCAAAAUGAGAAACUUGAAAUUGAUUUCAGGGCUUAUCCCAUUCCCAGCCCAUUCAGGUUGGGUCGUGCUUGGAAACCGACCGCGCAAACCAAGUCCCUUGAAAUUCGCGCGCAGACGCAUUGAACCGGCUGCUCUAUUUAACGCUCCGGUUCGGCGCGUGGAGGUUACCCACUUCUCGCUUCAACUCCGUCGUCCCCUUCCUCCGCUCUGCUUGAAAUGGAGUCAAGGUACUUUCUACUCUUUCUAUUACAUUCAAACUUGUUUGGGUUGUCUUUUAUUCUGUACGGGUUUUUGGGAUUGGGGCUACUAAACUUCAUUUCAAUUUGCUUGACGGGAGGAAAUUGAUUGAUACUAUAUUUUGUACUUCGUUGGCUUCUGGGCUAUAAGGUGUAACAAAUCAAAGGUUGUGUCUUUUGGCUUCAUUCGCAAACCUUGAAGAGAAAUUUUGGAUUAGUUUGCUGUCGUCAUUGUUAUGCCUGUGUUGUUUUAGCUGAAGUUUCUAACUUUGGGACAUUUGCUUCUCCAAUAAACUUGCUAUAAUGCGAUUACUGUCAUCAGCAUACUUGUUGUUUGUUUUUCAGGGGGAAACUCCAUGAUACCUAUGGCUUAUAAGCAGGUUUGUAUGAGCUCAUUAUUACACACGGGCUAAGCAUGACUGUUGUCCUUCCUAUGAAAGCUCAACUGUUUCUGGUAAUUUCAUAGUACUAUAGUCUACCUAACUACUAUUCCGGUUUUGGCAGUUAAGUAUUUGUAAGGUGAUAACAUUGUUGCUAGCAUUCAGAAUUUUGGUUCCAGUUGCUUUGUUCCCUUGUUGCUUACAUACAUUAUCCUGUAUUAUUCUUAAAAUCCGACUAAACCAUGCCUCUGGAUUGUUUUCCGACUAAAUUAUGCUGCUGCUUCUACUAGGUGUUUGAGAGAACUAGUAGAUAUUUUUCAGUGCAUGGACGACUACGAGUGAAUUCUUCCAAUUUUUCAUAAUGUGAGAUAUCAGAAAGGAGUUUUGGAGAAGCUUUGGAUAACCAUGAAAGGACGUCUGUGCGAUACGAAUCUGAGAAGGUCCAGUGGAGAGAUGCUUUAACAAUAGUGGCCAGUUUGGCUGGGUGCGUGGGAUUAACAUAAUUAAAAGUAAGCAUCAUCAAUUACUAAGAAUUAUACUUGUGCUUAUUCAUAUUGCUGACCAUUAUUUCACCCUUAACUCUUCCUUUUAGGUUGAUAGAGAACUUCUCGACUCCAUUGUGUGCAGUAAAGUACAACCUAUUGAAAUCAACACGAGAGAUUUUGAAGCAUCGGAACCACCAAUUAUUGAAACUGAGCCUACAAUAUCGGAAUCAAAUGAAGAAUUUGAAGUACUUGGAGCUCGACGACGAGCUACUAACGUGACUGAAUAGUUUGAACUAGUAGAAGCAACAACACAAACCACUAAUGGAAACUGUGAGUUGCUCGAUUUUUAGCUCUCUAUUGUCACUUCCUCAUGAUCUGUCACCCUCCCUUCAUGUCUGUUUUUCACUGUGGUUUCCCUCUAAUCUGUUUCUCUUUGUUAGUUUCUUGACUGUUCUUGAUACCUAAUAGAUUAUUCAUUAUGGUAUUCAAACUUUGGGAGUUGGGUUAUUGACAAGAUGCAGCUUAAAAGACCAGAAAACAAUGGGUAACCUACGAAAAAUUAAACAGACAAUGCCCCUUUUCUUAAUAUAGGAUUAUGGGGAUGCUCAAAACUAAAUGUUUAGUUAAACAUUAGGACACUGGACAUCUACCACUAGUUGUGUUUGGGGUUUGAGGUUUAGUAAACAAAGAUGUGAAUCACGUGAUCAGAUUUGAGGCUCUGUGUGUAGCUUAUUUUCAUGGAGUUAAUUAGGUAGUCUCUCUACCAUCAAAUAAAUCCACCUAUUCUUGUGAUUUCAAAAGUAAAUUACAUACAUACUUUCAAAAAAGAAGAAGCAAAUUAUACAUAAUUAUUUUACAUAUUGGAACGACUUGUAAACGUUGUCUGGCUACCUACUAAUCACGGGGUGAGAUUAAUUAGAGAACUGUUUGAUAUCAUUUUCACAUAUUUUAAAGUAUUAAGAAAACGUUGUCCGGCUAGUGGCUGCAUACUAAUCACGGGGUGAGAUUAUUUAGAGAACUGUUUGAUAUCAUUUUCACACAUUUUAAAGUAUUAAGCAAGUUUCGGAUCAACUUCCAGUUUUGUAGUUUAAUUGCAUAUGAUUAUCUUAUUGGCCGGCAGCAAGUUGAGAUAUUAUAACAUCUGGGUUUGGUGUUUUCUCAAGUAAUAGGUUUUAAAUACAUGACAUUUCUGUAUCAUGACAUUUUCACCAUGUGAAACCGAAGAUUAGGAUCACCUUAUUCAGACAACUAACUCAUUUAAAAUGACUUCUAUGGCCAAGUUGUUAGUUAUCUAUGUCAUGGUUGACAACUUUCUUUUGGGUUAAAUAAUUUCCACAAGCUUUUGCCUUCGGUGGGUUCCAAUGAGGCAAUGACCUGCAAUUGGAGACAUUAUUGGCUCUCUUGUUGUUUCCAGUGAAUUGAGCAGGAAAAGUUGAUGUAAAUAUUGAUGAUACAUAUCGGUGGGAAGUUUCCAGUGAAUUGUGAUGGAAGUUGCUGUAAAUAUCCAUGGGUAGUUUGAAUGAUCUUGUCAAGAAAUGCUAGUAAGAAAGAUAGUGAGUGGGACAUGAACGGGAUUUAUUGAAAUUUGAAUGCUUCGGUAUGUAUAAAGUAAGAACUAUUUACACAGAGACUUUAGUUUUCCAGUCAUAAAAAGAGUAGAAAGCGACUGAUACCAACCGCCACGAAAGUAGGGGAAAUUUGGACACACUCUAGUCUCUCUUUUCUCCGUUCAAACUAUCUCUGUGUCUUCCAUUUAAUUUAAUAACAUAUACUAUUCUUUAAGAUGAUGUCAGCCUCUAAUAGCGUACUGUUCAGCUAACUGUUUAUACGGAGCAGUGUUGGGUCGGGUCUGCAUUUCAGUGUUUUGGGGGGGCCAUAUAUAUAUUUGUUGUCCUUUGAGGUUAAGGGGAUUAGGGCCUCGAUUGGCUUUGUCAGUUGAUUUGGGCUUUGGCAACACAUAAUUUAUUGGUCUCGGUCCAACAAGACAAUGAAGUGUAUCUCUGUCUCAUUCCUGAAACUUCCAGACCUCAUCGUUCUCUCUCACUCUCUCUGCCGGAUACUUUUUCCUUUUCUCCAUAGCCGACCUCAUCGUUCCAUAACCGUCCCCUUUGCCAGAUUCUUUCCCUUUUUCUUCACAGCUCUCUCUUCAAGCUUUCAGAUUGAUCCUCUUCAAGCUUUCAGAGUUAUCUCUCUCACAAACUUCGCCGCAUUAAAGAUUGAUCCUCUCCUUCUAUCUUGCUGAUCGGCGACUGAUCUGGAAAAUGAGCUAACCGACGAAGGUGAAUGCCUCUCUCACUCUUUUGGUUGAUACCCAGAUCGUUUUUUUUUUUUGGCAUUUGAUUGCUUAAAGUUUGAGUCUUUAAUACUUUUUGAGACAAUUUGGUGUGUGUUCAGUUGGUGGUGUGAUAAAUUGGGUUUUCGUGAUUGGUUUCUUUGAGUCUGGUAGUGAUUGUGUUUGUAUUGAUGUGGGUUUCGGUGUUGGUAAUGGAAAGUAGCUUCCUUUUGACCAUUUGUUAGGUGGUGUAGUUCAUUGUGUGAUUUGAGAUUCUGGGUUUUUAAGCUGCAAAUUCACAAGAUAUAGGGUGAUUAUUAAAGGUUGUUAAUUGAUUAGAGUUGAAAAUUUGAAUACGAAGUUGUUCUUAUAUUACUAAUAAACUCUUCUUACAGGUUGAUUUGUUGGGCAAGGUGCGGUGACUCCAAAUUGGUCUUAGUUGCAUUACAAGAACUGUGAAUAUUUAACUUCAAAGGGUCUGACAGGUGAAAAGCAGUUAGCCUCUUCCAAUUUAGUUUUGAUCCGUUUUCUUUUAUAUACAGUAUAUACCUUUUCCAUAUUUUGUAUUUGGUUUGGCUACUUACAUGUACAUGUGCAUCAAUUUCAUUGACAUUUAUAAGAAUAUAUUUUUGUUCCUAAUUAGUUCUUAUCGCAUGUUAGUACAUUUAAUAGAUUUGAGCUGAUUGGGUUUUUUUUUCCCAAUUCAAGUUUUGUCUCUUUAUAAUUAUCCAUAACUAGAAGAUUAUGUAUGUAUCAACCUUUUGCUCUGAGCAUGAGGCCAAGAGAGGAAGGAGAAGGAGAGAGACGAUGAAGAAGAAAAUUGGCUUCAUUGGUGUGUUUUGAUAUAGGAUUACAGUACUACAUAAAUUUGAUCUUAAAUGAGGUGUUUAUAUAAGUUUAGUGGAUGAAGCUAAAAUUGAACUCUUAGGGUUUUUGAUUAUAAGUUUGGAUCUAAGACCAAACUCUUCUAAGUUUAGUGGAUGAUCUAAGACCAAACUUAUUUUCUUAAAAAAAAAUUAACAUGUGUAUCUCAGUAAGUUAAAUCUUUUUCACAUACCUUUCUUGAGCAAUGCUUAGUUUGAAAGUAUGAAAUGACAAGUUAAAUACAACAUUAUGUGCAGAGAAGUGAACUUUGCUUAUGUGCAAAACAUGCUUUGCUAAAUGCACUGUUUCUGUAAAAGAUUAACCUUUCAUUGGUGUAACUUAAAACAUUCUAAUUCUUACAUAGAACUUCCUGCCUUUUUCUUUGUUAUAUCUUCUUUCUUACAUUAGAUUAACCACUUUCACUUUUUACGUCUAUUUAACCUUCUUUGAUUUUUCACUCUUUGGAUUUUAUUGUUCAAUCAACAGAGAUGAAAGAGGCAAAAGUAAGCUGAAAACAAAGCAGAAGCAAAUGGCAUUGCUCAUGUUCUUUUACAACACAACAAUCAAUUCUGAUUGUACGUAUGAUCGACUGUGAACAUUCAGGUUGUAAUUAUUUUUGGUAUCUGAUUGUAAUUGACCGACAUUUUUGGUACAAAACAUAGGUGGUAAUUAUUUAUGAUUUAAUCACCUAUAUAUGGUGUGCAGAAGAUAGGUUGUAACAACUUUUUCAUACAAUCACGGUGUUCUAUAUCUAUCACAUGUUAUCCUAUAUAUCAAUUAUUUGUACAUAACUCAUUCCCAAUUAUGCUAUCAUUGACACUUAACUUAAAACAUCAAAACAAUGAUGUAACUUAUUAGCUCAUUAUCUCAUUAUCUCAUUUCUCAUCAAUAACUCGAGAUCAUACCCGCUGCAACGCGCGGGAUUACUAUCUAGUUUUCUCCAUUUUUUGUCUUAUCACGUGCUCUUGUUUGAACAGAAAGGGUUUACAUAGAUUUUUUCACUAUUGGAGUUCUGCAGCCUAGCUCUCCUGUCGACCUGUAAUAGCCGAAGCUAAUGGAUUUCUAUUUCUUCGAGGUUAGAAACAUAAGUAUUUCAUAAGUUUUACCCUCCAAUAUUUGUUAAUGUUUUGUGUUCGUUGGUUUCAACUCCCUUUUGUGCUUCUUCUGUAUGUUUGCAUAUCACAAAAAGAUAUCGUUGGCGAUUGUUGCGGUAAUUGUGACAUGGAUGGGUUGCAAGGCCAUUAAGGGGAUAUGGACUCGAGUAAAGCGUCGGAUAAGUUACAUGGUCAGAAAGUCGCAGGAUAAUCAAGGAGUGGUCAACUUGAAUGCCUCUGAAUCGCUUGCUUCAUCAUCAGAACCUCGUCGCUGGAAGUAUGAUGUGUUUUUGAGUUUCCGGGGUCCUGAUACUCGCAAAGGGAUUACAGCCCAAAUACGCGAUCGACUUCGUAGAAGUGGCAUUAUAACGUUCAUGGAUGAACCAGAUCUUAGAGUAGGGGAUACCAUUUCGCCCACUCUCAUAAAGGCAAUUAAAGAGUCAAGGUUUGCAAUCGUGAUUCUCUCGCAAAAUUACGCUUCUUCUGCUUGGUGUUUGGAGGAACUUCGUGAGAUUUGUCAAUCCAUGGAAGAGAGUAGAAUUUUGCCACUUUUUUUUGAAGUUGAUCCUACUGAUGUUCGAUAUCAGAAGAGGAGUUUCGAAGAAGCUUUCUCUAAGCACGAUACCUCUGGGCGACAUGAAUCAGAGAAGGUGGAGCAAUGGAGAGCUGCUCUAGAAAAAGUGGCCAAUAUCUCAGGGUGGAAUACAAAUGAUUUCAAGUAAGCGUUGUGCCUUCAAUUUCAAUUCUAAAUAUCAAUUUUACCUGACACUUAUCUAUUAAUCCUUAUAACUCUUUAAUUCUUCCUUGUAGGACUCACAGUGAACUUGUUGACAAGAUAGUGGAAUCUCUCCGCCGUAAAGUACCACCUGAUGCAAUUGAAUUCACAGAUGAUUUCCAAGCAUUUGGAGCAACAAAAGAAGCGACAGACAAGGUUAUGAAGGCGCUAACAGAUGACAAGAUUACUGCCGUUGGUGUCUAUGGCAUGGGUGGCGUUGGAAAGACAAGCAUGGUGA
rnacentral:lncRNA from 1 species